ensembl:lncRNA
GCACAUCUAAAUUACCCCAAUUCAGCAGAGCAACGGCCCAUCUCAUCUGACAUCUGAUCUCGCAGUCACCUGAGACUUUUGAUGGCUGCUUCAGAGUCAAGUGCAAAACUCCCAGUUUGUUUUAAUUACAAAGGAUGUUUGCGUGAAGACGGAGGGGAAGAUUCAUCAGAUGGGGUGCCGGGACUGAAAUUGGCAGCUUGCAUCUCACCUGUUCAGGGGUGCCCGUUUGGACCCCGGUACUGGUAAGGGAAGCCCAGAGAUCUUUCCCUUACUUGCAUCCUGGUGCAAUGACCUAGAUGGGCCAUUGUAGGGGAAAAGAACUACCAGGGUGUAGGAAAACCCAGGUCACACCUCUCCAGCCCCAACAUGAUCCCUUCUCCCUUAUUCAGUCUACCACUUCCUGACAUGCCUCCUGCAGCCAGGGCUUUUCCUGCCUGCAGUGGAGGCAGUGCAUAGUUAGCAGAGCUGGUCUGAUGCAGGGUUCUCUGUUCUAGGAUUUCCCCCCCCCCCCGAAGUAGAGGGCCUUACACCUACCUGAUGGCCCCUUCGUACCAGCCUAACAGUGCAACAAGGUUGCAUAGCACUGACAAUUCUGGCUCAGAGACCUGCUCCCUAUCACAAAUCCAGAAGAACUCUGCCGCUUCAGUGAAGUGCUGUGUUUCCAUGCUGGUGUACGUGAGAGGAGAAUUUAGUCUAGGACAUUUGCUCCUUAGGACCCUUCUUUUUCUUUUUUUGAAAGAGCCCCACCAAGGCAUACUCUAUUUGUGCACAGAAAUGCUCACACAACUGUAGAUGCUCAAAUACUUGCAUAUUUUUGCUGUCAGACCUCAGGCCUCCUGACGUUACCACCCCAGUCUUGCAAAGGUGCAAAUGCUUCCUGCGGUGCUGAGGGUCUGUACACCGACUGGCUCUAGGUUAUGGUCGAGAGCUUACCGUGUCUGGUGGGAACCACAGAAGAGGAGGAAUACAGAACAUUUCUGCUCUCAGCAGAAUCAUCCAUGCGCUGUAGCCAUUGCGGGAAAAACAAACCAAGACCAAAAAAACCCAACGCUACCAGCAAAAUUCAUUUUGUUUCUGCUCAGACAUUGGAUGGAAGGACUAAAUUACCAAGCACAGGCACACAUUAUACAGACAGUGAUUAUCCGUGGCCAGUGUUUACAGCGUCUCAUGGAAAGGAUGGAUGUAGAGAGUCGAGCCUAUACAAUGUGGUUUUGAUCAAGGGUGUUUACAGGAAAGGUGGAACGCUUCUCCUUACUUUUCUCUGUCCCACAGUUCUGCAUUCACCUGUACCCCAGGUACUUUUUAACCAGUCUCUCCUCUUGAGUCAAGUUCUAUCCUCACUAAUUAUAUAACACACGGGCCAUCACACAGAGCAUGAUAUGCUUAGAGUGUCGAAGGGACUCACUCACUUGUUAUUGUUAAGCUUAAUAUUAGCACCUUUGACUUCCCAGUGAAAUAUUUUGGGGCAUGUCUCAAAACUGGUGCAUGACAAUAGGCAAAUCACUUAGGGCCAGAUGUGCAAAAGUAUUUAGGCACCUUGAGAUGCAGAUGGUAGAAUUUAUAAAAGCGCCUACGCAGGUUAGGUGCUUAACUCCCAUUGAAAGUCGAUGAGAGUUUGGUGUCUAACAAACACCCUUCAAAUGUUUUUGCCCAAGCAGAAUUGUGUCCAAAUGUCCAUUUUGGAACCUGUGGGGUGGUUAGGACACUCACCUGGGAUGUGGCAGACCCACAUUCAACUCCAUGCUCUGCCUGAUUCAGAGAAAGUUUUUAAUCGCAGAUCACACUCAUUCAGGCAGACCAGGGACAUGAACCUGGGUUUUCCCCAUCAUUAGCAGUGUCCAAGCCACCAGGAUACAGGAGGGGAGUCUGAGCUCUCCUUGAAACGGAUAUGUAUCCACAAAACACUGGUGAAAUUUCAUUUUGCCAAAAAUAUUCCAACCAGCUUUAGUCUCACUAUCAGUUAGGGCUUCUAGGCUUUAAUGUAAUACUUCUACUAAUAAAUAACAGUAACAAACAGCA